rnacentral:rRNA from 1 species
GAUGAACGCUGGCGGCGUGCCUAAUACAUGCAAGUCGAGCGAAUGGAUUAAGAGCUUGCUCUUAUGAAGUUAGCGGCGGACGGGUGAGUAACACGUGGGUAACCUGCCCAUAAGACUGGGAUAACUCCGGGAAACCGGGGCUAAUACCGGAUAAUAUUUUGAACUGCAUGGUUCAGAAUUGAAAGGCGGCUUCGGCUGUCACUUAUGGAUGGACCCGGGUCGCAUUAGCUAGUUGGUGAGGUAACGGCUCACCAAGGCAACGAUGCGUAGCCGACCUGAGAGGGUGAUCGGCCACACUGGGACUGAGACACGGCCCAGGCUCCUACGGGAGGCAGCAGUAGGGAAUCUUCCGCAAUGGACGAAAGUCUGACGGAGCAACGCCGCGUGAGUGAUGAAGGCUUUCGGGUCGUAAAACUCUGUUGUUAGGGAAGAACAAGUGCUAGUUGAAUAAGCUGGCACCUUGACGGUACCUAACCAGAAAGCCACGGCUAACUACGUGCCAGCCGCCGCGGUAA